GUCAAACUCGCUAUUCGUGUUGCCCAAAGAAAACCAACGGAAUAAGGAUUCUUUGAUACCCAUUCUUUCCCACUUAACAUAUGCGAUUAAAGAGCUGGUAACGAUGAUCCCAAGGGACUCACUCGACCAGCCUUUCCGCUUUCACGCGUCUCUCUCAUGUGCAUACUUUAUGUUAGCCCUAACCGCGUCGUGGAAGCCACAUCAUGACCAUCAGCACACGGGUCGAUGAGGAGGAUAGGCUUUAAAGACGGGAAGGAAGGCGUCGCUGUUCCAAAGCGCACCAGCCAUGGAGAUGCCGAGCUGAUGCACGGUGACCACAUGGGGUGCACAGAGGCAGCCUUUACAUAUGUGGUUGGAAUUGGCACGAUAAUGAUCCAUGGCAUGUGAGAUUCGUGUCAAGUGCAGCAACACUUAUUAGGUGGUGGUGGUUGGUUGGGAAUCCGGUGCCGAACCGACGCUAUUUGCCUCUCUUGCGACAGCAGGCAGCACCACACAAGAGUUACUGGUUUGACUCUCUCUCUCUAAAUAUAAAUGAGUUUGGCGGUGUUGGUGAUGCAAUAAGAGGUGGGUAGAGGGAGAGAAAAGAAGAGGAAACUUGCACUAUGGUAACGACAAUAAUGAUGGAUUAAGACACUUAACUUGGAAGAUGUUCCAAUCUGGACGAUACUCCAAAAUAGAAGCUUAUGGCUUCUAUUUGGUUGGGACAGAGUUGGCUUACGGGUAUAGGGCAUGGGCCCGUUAAGAGCCCAAUAAAUACAGAGACCCAUUAACAAGGAACGGUCCUGAUGAGAAGCUGUUUCCAUCCGACGUACCGCGACGAGCGAUCGCUGCGGAGCAUCGUGUGAUGAGGUGACUCGGUUCAUCGGUUGGCUGUUGAGCGUCGGAGCACUAUAAAUAACUGCUGAACGGACACAUGAUGCGGUUACUCUGAGAGGGAGGGGGAGAGAGAGAGGGAGAGAGCUCUCCAGCGUUUGCGAGGGUGGUGUCGUCCUUAGGUUCUUUCUUCGUUCUUUCGCUUGCUUCAGACUCUUGCUUGGACGAUUGGUUUGCGAUUUGGAUUCAUCCGUCUCAUCUGCCGCUUGAUCGCGAGAUGUAUCGACGAGGUUUAACAUGGUUCGAUUAUGCUCGUAGAAGAACUGCUCGUAUAUGAUUUUUUUUUUUUUUGCUGGAACCGUAGUUCGGCUUCUUGUUUCUUGUCGAUGAGAUUGAGACGCACACGAUGACUUAUUUGUUUGUGACAACGGAUUUGCAGUCCUAAGGCAUGUAGAAUGAUGACUUGCAGCGAAACCAUACAUACAAUGGGUAAAUACUCGGAUCGCUUUCCUCUUUGCUCUCGAUGCAGAGGCCGGCCACUUCGCUCUAUAACAUCACGGCUCAUCUUCCGGUGGUCGAAUCGAUUGGGUUCUCACUGCUCUGAGCCAGGCGUUCACCCAGUAUGUCUUUGACCGCUGGGUCCUGAUGUCUUCCGAUCUAUCGGAUGAGGCUCGUGAUCGACAUCCGUAAGAGGAAGGGCUUGAAGAAGCAGAUUACCUCUCUCCCCGAAUACCAAAACCAGCUCUAAAUUUCCCAAAAUGCUUCUGGUGCAGGUCUUCAACCACAUACAAUUACUACACGAAGACCUUUUUGGCUGAAUCGGGAUAUCCAGUGAAGCCAAUUUGAAGGUCACCGAUCCCUAAUUUAUUCAAUAGUUUGUGGGACAAUAUGGAGAAGAAACAUAACAGAAUAAAAAGGCUAACCGCAAUGCCACUCUGCAGAAGAGCAAAAAAAUUGGCAGGACAAACCGGCAGCAUCAUCCACAAGCCCGCUUCUGGUCCUGCUUUUAUACAUUCACGACGACACCACCGAAGUGUUAACCUAAACAUUCUUUUUUUCGACAACAGAGAAAAGGGUAAGCAGAAACCGCAGGUUUCCUUAUUUUAUUUUGUAUUGGAAUCCUCUUAGGACUGUUCAAGGUACCGAGAGUGAGAGGCUGCAAGAAGAGACGCGCCAAGGCCUGAUCCAUCGUUAGUGAGGUUGACGACAACAGACGAAGAGGCCUCAUCUCCAAGCAUUUCAUUCAGGGCGCCGUGCAAGCAUUCUCUGAAUACAGUGUAAUGCUCGUAAAGCCCACCGUCCAUGGCGAUCACUGUCCUUCGCAUGCCACUGCCAUCCCGUCCCAGCUUCUUCAGAAUCCCAACUAUGCCUGCGGCAGCCAGCCGAGCCCCACGCUUGGCAACGACAUCACAGAUCUGGACAACCACUUUUCUCGCUUUCAAGGAGGUGCUAGAAAUCUGGACUUCAGGCAAAAACAAAGACAGUAAAAAAAAAAAACUGGCUGCGGAAUAUGAGAUUUAGGGAAAAUGUAAAGGAUUGUACCCCCAAGAAUUCCUUCAGUUUGGCCCCGACAACUUUGAGAUCA